AUCUACGGCUAUAUUGCCCUGAAAGCGCCCGAUCUCGUUUGAUCUCAGAAGCUAAGCAGGGUCGGGCCCGGUUAGUAGUUGAAU
rnacentral:rRNA from 1 species